UGAGCAGCUGGUGGGCUAUGAGCAGAAGUGUCAAACUCACAGCCCACCAGCUGCUUGGU
rnacentral:pre_miRNA from 1 species